ensembl:lncRNA
AAAAAUCUCAAAUUGAGGUAUCUAUACCAAAUAAUAGAAAACCAUUUAAUAUAUUUCCUUGACAGGAUAACUAUGCUAUAAGAUAAAGAAUAAUCAAUAGAUGGUGUGUCUCUGUACUUCAGAAAUACCACUGAGAUUCUGUGUACGUUGCCCUGAAAGUAAUGCCUCCUGUUUAUUUCCAUGCAGGGAAAUUCCUUCCUUUUCCUGGAUGGCAAUGCUGGGCCUUAUGCAUCCCAGGGUACAGUUGGCCCUUUGGGCUUCCAGGGCAUACUGCUGGCUCAGGUCCAACUUGCCUCAUUUCAAUCAAAAAACUUCAGAAAGAUGUAUGCCUGCUGCCCAGCUGGUUUGCAUAACAAACUUUUUGGUAAGUUCUAUUCUCACUCCGAAUGUAACUGAGAGACCUUUAAAACUCCUGGGUUAAGACACAAAGGCUAUCCCAAAUUUGUUGUGUAAGCAAGUGGAGAAGCAAAACUACCUAUGAAAAGUUGACAAACCUGCCAAAUCUAUGGAGAAAAUAGACUUAAUGGCUAAAAGAACAGCCUUCCUGUAUUUCUGGAAUCAAGGUCCACUACUGGGAUAUUUAUUUUUUUAAACCUGUAGUUCCUCUCUGUCCAGAAUAAAUAGCAAGUUAUUUCAGAAAGGACAGAAACUGUAUCACCAGCCUGUUAAAAGAUUUAAGAGUCCUCAAAAGGAGUUGGCUUUCCUUUCAUCAAAGCGUUUAUGCUACUCCUCUGUUACAUUAACAUAUUAUAUAAAAUACUAGAACAAUAUUUUUUCUUGGAAAACUAGAGCAGCAACACUGUGAGAACAAGUAUACAAGACAGUCUACUGAAAGAGAUUCCAGGACAGAAAUGGGAACAUAGUGAUUUUAACACUGAUGUUGCAUUUGAACUAUGGGAUGUGUCUGCUUCGUGUUGCACUAUGACUUGCCCAGACCAGACAAGCCAAUAGAGCAUUUUGUUCCUUCCCUCUCAGAUGCAAAGGAUUCUGUGUUGUUAGAUGCCCUGCAGUGCUCAAGAAAUUAUUAAUGCAUAUACACUGGACAGGACCAGGACAAUCUGCCAGAUUCAUAAUAUUUAGUUUUUCAGUAUAUUGAAAGAUUAUUUCCUCAACCCAGGACCCAUGAAUUGGUUUUAGUUGUGAUUUUCUUAAUGCUUCUUUAAUUCACUACCAUUUCACAGGUUUUUUUCAGAUACUUUUGCUUACUUUCAAACCCGUAUGGAUUAAUUUCCAGUUUAUACAUUCACAUUCAGAAGCCAAACAGGCUAUGU